GUGAAUCAUCGAAUUUUUGAACGCAAAUUGCACUCUCCUCUGAGAGUAUGCCUGUUUGAGGGUCAGCCUAUAAAAAAUCGACAUCGUUGCUGUUUCUCGGUGGCGUUCUUCGUAAAGUGGGCCAUCUUAAUUCUUUUGGUUUUAAGCGACUUAUAAUUUGCUUUUUGGUUCCAUGAACGUUUCUAAGAUUUAUUUCUUUACACUUUUAUGGUUUCGAUUUUUAUUAGACGUUUCCAUCACAUCGUAUCGCGCCCAUAAUCUUUCAUUUACUGUCCUCUG
rnacentral:misc_RNA from 1 species